rnacentral:rRNA from 1 species
UACAGAGGUCUCAAGCGUUGUUCGGAUUCAUUGGGCGUAAAGGGCGCGUAGGCGGCGGGGUAAGUCGGGUGUGAAAUCUCAGAGCUCAACUCUGAAAUGGCACUUGAUACUGCUCUGCUAGAGGACUGGAGAGGAGACUGGAAUUCACGGUGUAGCAGUGAAAUGCGUAGAUAUCGUGAGGAAGACCAGUGGCGAAGGCGGAUCUCUGGACAGUUCCUGACGCUGAGGGCGCGAAGGCCCAGGGGAGCAAAGCGGG